ACUUAUGAUGAUCCUUCGGGUGAUUCAUUUGUGACUGAGCGGCGGACGGGUGAGUAACGCGUGAGUAACCUGCCUCAUACAGGGGAAUAACAGUUAGAAAUGACUGCUAAUGCCGCAUAAGCGCACAGGACCACAUGGUCUGGUGUGAAAAACUCCGGUGGUAUGAGAUGGACUCGCGUCUGAUUAGCUAGUUGGUGAGGUAACGGCCCACCAAGGCGACGAUCAGUAGCCGGCCUGAGAGGGUGAACGGCCACAUUGGGACUGAGACACGGCCCAAACUCCUACGGGAGGCAGCAGUGGGGAAUAUUGCACAAUGGGGGAAACCCUGAUGCAGCGACGCCGCGUGAGUGAAGAAGUAUUUCGGUAUGUAAAGCUCUAUCAGCAGGGAAGAAAAUGACGGUACCUGACUAAGAAGCCCCGGCUAACUACGUGCCAGCAGCCGCGGUAAUACGUAGGGGGCAAGCGUUAUCCGGAUUUACUGGGUGUAAAGGGAGCGUAGACGGCUUUGCAAGUCUGACGUGAAAAUCCGGGGCUCAACCCCGGAACUGCGUUGGAAACUGUGAGGCUUGAGUGCCGGAGAGGUAAGCGGAAUUCCUAGUGUAGCGGUGAAAUGCGUAGAUAUUAGGAGGAACACCAGUGGCGAAGGCGGCUUACUGGACGGCAACUGACGUUGAGGCUCGAAAGCGUGGGGAGCAAACAGG
rnacentral:rRNA from 1 species